UGGCGACCGGCGCACGGGUGAGUAACACGUAUCCAACCUGCCGAUGACUCGGGGAUAGCCUUUCGAAAGAAAGAUUAAUACCCGAUGGCAUAGUUCUUCCGCAUGGUAGAACUAUUAAAGAAUUUCGGUCAUCGAUGGAGAUGCGUUCCAUUAGCUUGUUGGCGGGGUAACGGCCCACCAAGGCAUCGAUGGAUAGGGGUUCUGAGAGGAAGGUCCCCCACACUGGAACUGAGACACGGUCCAAACUCCUACGGGAGGCAGCAG
rnacentral:rRNA from 1 species